CAGUCGAACGGGAAUCUUCGGAUUCUAGUGGCGGACGGGUGAGUAACGCGUAAGAAUCUAACUUCAGGACGGGGACAACAGUUGGAAACGACUGCUAAUACCCGAUAUGCCGCGAGGUGAAACCUAAUUGGCCUGAAGAAGAGCUUGCGUCUGAUUAGCUAGUUGGUGGGGUAAGAGCCUACCAAGGCGACGAUCAGUAGCUGGUCUGAGAGGAUGAGCAGCCACACUGGGACUGAGACACGGCCCAGACUCCUACGGGAGGCAGCAGUGGGGAAUUUUCCGCAAUGGGCGAAAGCCUGACGGAGCAACGCCGCGUGAGGGAGGAAGGUCUUUGGAUUGUAAACCUCUUUUCUCAAGGAAGAAGUUCUGACGGUACUUGAGGAAUCAGCCUCGGCUAACUCCGUGCCAGCAGCCGCGGUAAUACGGGGGAGGCAAGCGUUAUCCGGAAUUAUUGGGCGUAAAGCGUCCGCAGGUGGUCAGCCAAGUCUGCUGUCAAAUCAGGUUGCUUAACGACCUAAAGGCGGUGGAAACUGGCAGACUAGAGAGCAGUAGGGGUAGCAGGAAUUCCCAGUGUAGCGGUGAAAUGCGUAGAGAUUGGGAAGAACAUCGGUGGCGAAAGCGUGCUACUGGGCUGUAUCUGACACUCAGGGACGAAAGCUAGGGGAGCGAAAGGGAUUAGAUACCCCUGUAGUCCUAGCCGUAAACGAUGGAUACUAGGCGUGGCUUGUAUCGACCCGAGCCGUGCCGAAGCUAACGCGUUAAGUAUCCCGCCUGGGGAGUACGCACGCAAGUGUGAAACUCAAAGGAAUUGACGG
rnacentral:rRNA from 1 species